CCUACGGGGGGCUGCAGUGGGGAAUAUUGGACAAUGGGAGGAACCCUGAUCCAGCCAUGCCGCGUGUGUGAAGAAGGCCCUCGGGUUGUAAAGCACUUUCAGUGAGGAAGAACGCCUGGUGGUUAAUACCCAUCAGGAAAGACAUCACUCACAGAAGAAGCACCGGCUAACUCCGUGCCAGCAGCCGCGGUAAUACGGAGGGUGCGAGCGUUAAUCGGAAUUACUGGGCGUAAAGCGCGCGUAGGUGGCUUGAUAAGCCGGUUGUGAAAGCCCCGGGCUCAACCUGGGAACGGCAUCCGGAACUGUCAAGCUAGAGUGCAGGAGAGGAAGGUAGAAUUCCCGGUGUAGCGGUGAAAUGCGUAGAGAUCGGGAGGAAUACCAGUGGCGAAGGCGGCCUUCUGGACUGACACUGACACUGAGGUGCGAAAGCGUGGGUAGCAAACAGGAUUAGAUACCCCGGUAGUC
rnacentral:rRNA from 1 species